rnacentral:rRNA from 1 species
GAUGAACGCUGGCGGCGUGCCUAAUACAUGCAAGUCGAGCGAACAGAUGAGGAGCUUGCUCCUCUGACGUUAGCGGCGGACGGGUGAGUAACACGUGGAUAACCUACCUAUAAGACUGGGAUCACUUCGGGAAACCGGAGCUAAUACCGUAUAAUAUAUUGAACCGCAUGGUUCAAUAGUGAAAUACGGUUUUGCUGUCACUUAUAGAUGGAUCCGCGCCGCAUUAGCUAGUUGGUAAGGUAACGGCUUACCAAGGCAACGAUGCGUAGCCGACCUGAGAGAGUGAUCGGCCACACUGGAACUGAGACACGGUCCAGACUACUACGGGAGGCAGCAGUAGGGAAUCGGCCGCAAUGGGCGAAAGCCUGACGGAGCAACGCCGCGUGAGUGAUGAAGGUCUUCGGAUCGUAAAACUCUGUUAUUAGGGAAGAACAAAUGUGUAAGUAACUAUGCACGUCUUGACGGUACCUAAUCAGAAAGCCACGGCUAACUACGUG